GACGAACGCUGGCGGCGUGCCUAAUACAUGCAAGUAGAACGCUGAAGGAGGAGCUUGCUUCUCUGGAUGAGUUGCGAACGGGUGAGUAACGCGUAGGUAACCUGCCUGGUAGCGGGGGAUAACUAUUGGAAACGAUAGCUAAUACCGCAUAAGAGUAGAUGUCGCAUGACAUUUGCUUAAAAGGUGCAAUUGCAUCACUACCAGAUGGACCUGCGUUGUAUUAGCUAGUUGGUGAGGUAACGGCUCACCAAGGCAACGAUACAUAGCCGACCUGAGAGGGUGAUCGGCCACACUGGGACUGAGACACGGCCCAGACUCCUACGGGAGGCAGCAGUAGGGAAUCUUCGGCAAUGGACGGAAGUCUGACCGAGCAACGCCGCGUGAGUGAAGAAGGUUUUCGGAUCGUAAAGCUCUGUUGUAAGAGAAGAACGAGUGUGAGAGUGGAAAGUUCACAAUGUGACGGUAUCUUACCAGAAAGGGACGGCUAACUACGUG
rnacentral:rRNA from 1 species